UAGGUUGGUGCAGAAGUAGUCGCAGUUUUUACCAUUGAAACUAAUGGCAAAAACUGCAGUUACUUUUGCACCAA
ensembl:miRNA